rnacentral:lncRNA from 1 species
AUGACUCAGCCUCUUCUCCACAGAAAGGAGCACAACGGCAGUUGGGCCGCUUUUUGGACACUACAGAGAGAUCGGGAGCCAAGGAGAAGGGCAGUUUUACGGCAGGAGUUGGAGUGUACGACCCAAGGGAGUCACCGAGGGAAUCGGGGGGAGUCACAUCUUUCUGGGGCAAACGCAGGACCGAUGGUCCUAGCCAGAUCAUCGGGGCGAGGAUUUAUUUUCCGAGACCCGGCCUGCAGAAUUGGAGCUGGAAGCCAGAAGUUGCGGACUCCCAAGGCUGGAAAAUCAGCACUGCCGCUCUCCGGUAACGGGGGGGCCUCGGGAGGGGUGAGGGUGGAGGCGUCCAAGAGGGCUGACUUCAUUGGACUUAAUUGCAGUGUGCUUUUCUGCAUGACUUCCCAGGAGCUAACACCAACUUCCUGCUCAACUGUGGGUUUAGCUCAAAGUGAAGGGAGGCUUUGAGGCUUACUGAGUAAAGGAGAUUAGUUGGGUUCUGCUGAAUCGGGUCAAGGAUCAUGGUCGAAAGCCACUGUGUGUUCUGUCUCUGGCCAGGUCCGUCACUCCCCGCUAGGCAAUUCCUUCCCAUGUUUCUUCGCUCUGCAUUGACCUCUGGGGCAAAACUGGAAGAUGCAGAGCUCCUGGUGAAGCAUCCUAACCUCUUUGGUCGUGUGGGACGGAUUUUUCUUGGGCUCCGGAGAAAUGGAUCAGGGAAGAGCCACGGAGAGGCUUUUCCUUUGCUUUUCUAUUCUCUGACGCUAGAGAGUGACCGUGAACUCAGAGUAAAGUGCUUCGUAAAAAUCCAGUGACAGUUAAUGGUUUGACCUGGGGAGCGGGAUCUCAACGGAGCACCUUUCCGGGGCUCCUGGGAGGACGUAGCCCUCCCUGCCCCAGUGUGCAAUUAAUGAGAGCCAUGAAGGAGGGGGAGGCCCAAGGUUAUAGAACCUCAAAAUUCAGGAUCAAGAGCCUUGCCAGUGAGCCAAAAAAAAUAAAUAUCCCACCCCUGUAGAACCAAACUGAUGCUUACCCUUGAGAAGUAGCAUGGCCUAGUGAAUAGAGCACGGGUCUGGGGGGUCUAAAGAACCUGGAUUCUAAUCCGAGCUCUGCUGCUUGUCAGCUAUAUGACCUUGGACAAGUCACUUCUCGGUGCCUCAGUUCCCUCAUCUGUGAAAUGGGGAUUAAGACUGAACCACAUGUGAGACAGGGACCGUGUCCAAACUGAUUAACUUGAACCUACCCCAGUGCUCAGAAUCGUGCUUGGCACAUAGUUAGCACUUAACAAAUACCAGCAUUAUUAUUACCCAGGCCAGUGGCAGACCCGAAUUAAGAGCGGGAACGGAGGGAGUCCAGCACUUCAUGGUGCUGGGCUGCCCCUGCCUUCACCCUUCUGUAUAAUUCCUGGUUUGGGGGUUGUAGAGGAAAUGGUAUCUAUUGAGCACCUAUUGAGUGCGUGGCUCUGUACCAAGCGCUUGAGAAUGGUAUAAUGAAAUGAUAAAGUACAUUCCCCGUCCCUAAAAGAGCUCACUCUCUUAAACGAGGAAGACGGGCAAAAAAAAAUAGUAGAAUCACAAUAAAUAGAUUGAACGCUCGACUGCAACAAGUGCAGACACCAAGUGCCUAUACCAAUUCAUAAAUGCCACAAGUGGAAGAUGGGGUGAUUCGGGUCAUGCCAAGUCCCAGGAUGGAGAAUUUAUCGAGUGCUUUUCAUUUUCCUAAGCGCUUUCAUUUUAAUUAUCCUCCCGGCAUCCCUAUGGGAGGGAAGAGCAGACAUUAUAUUUCUCAUUUACUAAAGUGGAAACUGAGGUAGAGGGGUUAAGAGACUGGUCCAAGGUCGCUCGGCAGGUCAGCGGCAGAGCCUGCAACUCAAAUCAGGGUGUCUGGAUUUCCUGACCCGAGCUGUUUUCCGUUAGCCCACCCUGCCUCUCAGAGGAUGUGAGGUCAAUUUGUGUGCGGCUCAUGUCCCUGUGGAAAUGAGCCCCGAGGGGACUCGCCACGCUCGUGGGAUGUGGGAACCCGGUGAAAUCGGCCAAACCUGAACCGGUUGAUGCUUUCAUUCCUCCGGGGGCUCCUGGAGAACCAAAUGGGAGCUGGGAAGAGCGGCCCUGAUUUGUUCAGCAAAGGGGGAGACCCCUUGGAGACUUGAAAUAAGAUUUGAACUUGGCUCCCUUUCAGAGCGUGACAGAGAGCUGGCUGCAGACAAGGAGGGGGGGAAGGGCUGGAGAGGCCCUCAGAGUUACUGGGGUCACAUCUGGCCGAGAAGCCGAGAUCUGGGAUCUCCCUGUUGUCGAGAUGAGGCGACAGCCUCAAACUCAGCCUUCCACCCCAUCUCCUUCCUCUGCCCCCUCCUUUUCCCUUCAAGAUUUUAACUCGGGACCAGCGAGAAGGGCCCUGCAGCCAGAGAGCCCAUCCGGAUGCCCCUCCUUUCAUCACAUAUGCAGGAAAUAGGCUCCGUGGGGAAAGGAUCAUUCUUCUGCCGACUGGCGGAGGGAGGUUUGAUUUGAAUUGCCCAUAAGCUGGUCUGAGUCCUGCUCUCGCUGCUGCUUCUGUUGGCAGGCAUGCCCAGGUCUGAGAACCGGUGCAUGAAAAGACACGAAGAGACAGAGGCCUCGGCCGCUGGUAAUUCGAGACUGCGUCAGUUCAGUCAGUCAUUCGGAUUUACUGAGCGCUUACUGUCUGCGGAAAGAACACAGGCCUGGGACUCAGAGGACCUGCGUUCUAAUCCCGGCUCUGCCAACUGCUCUGACAGUUGCUUUGCCAAUUGCUUGCUGGGUGACCACAACUUCUCUGUGCCUCAGUUUCCUCAAGUGUAAAACAGGGAUUCAACACCCGUUCUCCCUCCUACUUUAGACUAUGAGCCCCAUGCGGGACAGAGACUGUGUCCGAAUUGAUUUACACCUACUCCAGCGCUUAGAACAGUGUGUAACUCAUAAUAAGCGGUUAACAAGCCCCAUAAAGCAAGGAAGCAAGCACUGUAGUCAGCGCUUGGGAGAGUACGAUAUAGCAGGAAAACAGACACAUUCCCUGCCCACAACGAGUUUACAGCCUAGUGGUAGUUAAGGUGGGCACCCCGAAACCUUGGCCCCACGUUAGCGGGAGUGGGCAAGUACCCUAAAAGAUAUAAAUAAACUAGCCAGCCACAGAAAACACUUGACCCUGGUUUCCAUCUGCAUUCCGCAUCCUCCUGGCUGUUGGCUGGGGAAAGUGGUGUAAUAAAGGGCAUACUAGCAGUCGGGCCCCUAAUCAAUCAAUUAAUCAUAUUUAUUGAGCAUUUACUCUGUGCAGAGUAUUGUACUAAGCACUUCAUUCAAUGGUAUUUAUUAAAUGCUUACUGUGUGCACAGCACUCUACUAAGUGCUUGGGAGAAUACAAUAUAACAGAGUUGGUAGACGUAUUCCCUGCCCGUAACCAGCUUACGUUCUAGAGGGAGAAACAGACAUUAAGAUAAAUAAAUGAAUUAAAUGAGGGAUAUGUAAUGCUGUGGGGCUGAAGGAAGGUCCUAACUGCUUUCCUGAAUUAGGAAGUUGCCCCUUCCCCAGACAGGAGCCAGGAAGCUGCUGGGCCACUAGUAUAAAAUGUUCGUUUUAAAACCAGAAGUGUGAGUCCACCUGGGCACUGAACACAGGGCACACAGUUCCAAUCAAUGGUAUUUAUUGAGCACUUAUUCUUUGCAGAGCCCCGUACUGAGCAUGUUUGAGAAUGCACCUGAGUAAGUAGACACAAUCCCUGUCCUCAAUAAUAAAAAUAAUUGUGGUAUUUGUUAAGCACUUACUCUGGGCCAAACUCUGGGUUGGAUACAAGACAAUCAGGUCGGACCCAAUCCCUGUCCCACGUGAGGCUCCCAGUCUAAGUAGGAGGGAGGACCGAGUAUUGAAUCCCCACUUUACAGAUGAGAAACUGAGGCCCAGAGAGGUUGUGACUUAACCAAGGUCACACAGCCGGUAAGUGGAGAACAGGGAUUGGAACCCAGCUCCUCUGACUCUCAGGCCCGUGCUCGUUCCACUAGGCCACGCUAUCCCCCAAGAAGCUGACCAUCUAGUGGGGCAGGUGGACAUUUGAAGAGGGAGGCUCUUUUGUCAAACCUUUCCCUUCGGACUCAUCAAACAGGGAUAUUGAGAGUUUACCAUGUGCAGAACACUCAACUAAGCACUUUGGAGAGUAUAGCAUUUACUCCCAGCUCUGCCACUUGUCUGCUAUGUGGCCUUGGACAAACCACUUCCUUUCUCUGUGACUCAGUUAACUCAUCUGUAAAAUGGGGAUAAGAACCCCACGUGGAACAGGGACUGGGUCCAACCUGAUUUGCCUGUGUCCACCCCAGCGCUUCGUGCCUGGCGCAUACUAAGUGCUGAACAAAUACCAUAAUUUUUUAUUAUUAUUAUUAUUAUUCCACUGAGGAGCCUUCACAGCCUGAGGAGAGAGCUGCUGCCCCAUCGCUGAGACGGGAAGAGCGAGGCCGCUCCGCUCCCAGAGUCACCACAGCUCUCCGAGAGGGGCUAGGGCAAGGAACGGAUCGGUGGACCGGCCUCUCUGAGACCCUCCCACCUUCCCUGCUGCUGCCGUUGAGCUCUUGCCGGGAGGAUCAGGGGUAACAGAGCCGACACUGGCUGGAUUCAGUCGCCGGAGCCAACGCCGGAAGUUGGACCCGCAGCGGUCAAGCUUAUCACGGUGCAGCCACGAGCAGCAGCCUCUCGUGGGAAUCGCCAUUUGAACUAGGCAGGAGUCUGUCCUGGAGCCGGGCCCCGGCUCCCCUGAAGCUAACAGUCCCAGGGUAAGGAGCGGAAUUGGGCCCGCCCUGAUUGUCUUGGAUCCACCUCAGUCCUUGGCCCACAGUUAAGUGCUUAAUAAAAUAUCACAUUUAUUUGCUAGGAAACGUGUCUUGCUUUGGUUGUACUCUCCCAAGUGCUAAGUACUCAAUAAGUGCUCAUUAAAUAC